rnacentral:tRNA from 1 species
AGCAGCGUGGCUCAGUGGAAAGAGCCCGGACUUGGGAGUCAGAGGUCACGGGUUCGACUCCCGGCUCUGCCA